UACAGAGGAUGCAAGCGUUAUCCGGAAUGAUUGGGCGUAAAGCGUCUGUAGGUGGCUUUUUAAGUCCGCCGUCAAAUCCCAGGGCUCAACUCUGGACAGGCGGUGGAAACUACCAAGCUGGAGUACGGUAGGGGCAGCUGGAACUUCCGGUGGAGCGGUGAAAUGCGUUGAUAUCGGAAGGAACGCCGGUGGCGAAAGCGAGCUGCUGGCCCUCUUCUGACGCUGAGGCGCGAAAGCCAGGGGAGCGAACGGG
rnacentral:rRNA from 1 species